rnacentral:rRNA from 1 species
AACGAACGCUGGCGGCAUGCCUAACACAUGCAAGUCGAACGAGACCUUCGGGUCUAGUGGCGCACGGGUGCGUAACGCGUGGGAACCUUCCCUUAUGUUCGGAAUAACUCCCCGAAAGGGGUGCUAAUACCGGAUAAUGUCUUCGGACCAAAGAUUUAUCGCCUUUGGAUGGGCCCGCGUUGGAUUAGCUAGUUGGUAGGGUAAAAGCCUACCAAGGCGACGAUCCAUAGCUGGUCUGAGAGGAUGAUCAGCCACACUGGGACUGAGACACGGCCCAGACUCCUACGGGAGGCAGCAGUGGGGAAUAUUGGACAGUGGGCGAAAGCCUGAUCCAGCAAUGCCGCGUGAGUGAUGAAGGCCUUAGGGUUGUAAAGCUCUUUUACCCGGGAUGAUAAUGACAGUACCGGGAGAAUAAGCUCCGGCUAACUCCGUG